CAGAGACCUCCCCCUCCGGAUCCUAGCGCCCUAGGCUGUACCCUGAUGUCUGACUCAGACACAUGCAGUGGAGAUAUAAAAAGAAAGGCCGGCUUUUGCAUACCGUCCAUUUACAGCACGGAAGGAACUCGAGCGCGUUUGGGUCACAGACCCAGAAGAUUUAACAGUCAUGGUGGCAUCCCAUCCAGAAUGUGUUCCUGCCUCACACCCAGUGUUCCUGGGAUAGUCUCUGGAUGCACUGCAACCCUGAGCAGGAUAAAGUGCUUACUGAACAAGAAUGAAUGAAUGUUUGCAGAUGUGCUGCAUAUACCCAAUAUAACCAUGAGGAAACCUCCAGAGGAACCUGGAGCCUAUCCCAGGGAGCAUCGGGCACAAGUCGGGGUACACCCUGGAUAGAGUGCCAGUCCAUUGCAGGGCACAAUCACACACCUAUUCAUACACUACGGACACUUUAGACAUGCCAAUCAGCCUACCAUGCAUGUCUUUGGACUGGGGGAGGAAACCGGAGUACCCGGAGGAAACCCCACAGCACAGGGAGUUGUAGAGG
ensembl:lncRNA